UACGGAGGGUGCGAGCGUUGUCCGGAAUUAUUGGGCGUAAAGAGCUCGUAGGCGGUCUGUUGCGUCUGCUGUGAAAACUCGGGGCUUAACCCCGAGCCUGCAGUGGAUACGGGCAGACUAGAGGUAGGUAGGGGAGAAUGGAAUUCCCGGUGUAGCGGUGAAAUGCGCAGAUAUCGGGAGGAACACCGGUGGCGAAGGCGGUUCUCUGGGCCUUACCUGACGCUGAGGAGCGAAAGCGUGGGGAGCGAACAGG
rnacentral:rRNA from 1 species